rnacentral:rRNA from 1 species
CGUGGACCCGUAAUCCGGGUUGCGGACAGUGUCUGGUGGGUAGUUUGACUGGGGCGGUCUCCUCCUAAAGAGUAACGGAGGAGCACGAAGGUUGGCUAAUCCUGGUCGGACAUCAGGAGGUUAGUGCAAUGGCAUAAGCCAGCUUGACUGCGAGCGUGACGGCGCGAGCAGGUGCGAAAGCAGGUCAUAGUGAUCCGGUGGUUCUGAAUGGAAGGGCCAUCGCUCAACGGAUAAAAGGUACUCCGGGGAUAACAGGCUGAUACCGCCCAAGAGUUCAUAUCGACGGCGGUGUUUGGCACCUCGAUGUCGGCUCAUCACAUCCUGGGGCUGAAGUAGGUCCCAAGGGUAUGGCUGUUCGCCAUUUAAAGUGGUACGCGAGCUGGGUUUAGAACGUCGUGAGACAGUUCGGUCCCUAUCUGCCGUGGGCGCUGGAGAACUGAGGGGGGCUGCUCCUAGUACGAGAGGACCGGAGUGGACGCAUCACUGGUGUUCGGGUUGUCAUGCCAAUGGCACUGCCCGGUAGCUAAAUGCGGAAGAGAUAAGUGCUGAAAGCAUCUAAGCACGAAACUUGCCCCGAGAUGAGUUCUCCCUGAGACUUAGAGUCUCCUGAAGGAACGUUGAAGACGACGACGUUGAUAGGCCGGGUGUGUAAGCGCAGCGAUGCGUUGAGCUAACCGGUACUAAUGAACCGUGAGGCUUAACCUUAC